AUCGAGUCCAAUUCCAGGCCCUGCACAGGAUUCCCUGAGAGCCACACCAUGUGCCUGAGGGCGUUGUCCGAGUGCUCCUUGAGCUCUGCCAGCCGUGGGGCCGUGACCGCUUCCCUGAGGGGCUGUUCCAGUGCCCGACCACCCUCUGGGGGAAGAACCUCCUGACAUCCAACCUAAACCUCUCUGACACAGCUUUAUGCUGUUUUCUGAGUCCUGUCAGUGGUCACAGGAGUGAGGAGAUGAAUGCCUGCUCCGCUGUUUCCUCCCAUAAGGAUGUUGAACUUGAUCUUUUCAAGCCUCAAGGAUUCUGUGAUUAAUUAUUCAAAAUACACUGCCUUGAGAGGGACCAGUGAGGGAGAGCACUGAACGUGAUGAUGUGCCAACCUCUGCUGCGCUGGACUGAUAAUGGCUACUGUUUUCUGUCAGAGUCUACAGAGUUGAUCCAAAAGAUAAAAA